rnacentral:rRNA from 1 species
CCUACGGGAGGCUGCAGUGGGGGAUAUUGCACAAUGGGGGGAACCCUGAUGCAGCGACGCCGCGUGGGUGAAGAAGCGCCUCGGCGCGUAAAGCCCUGUCAGCAGGGAAGAAAAUGACGGUACCUGAAGAAGAAGCCCCGGCUAACCACGUGCCAGCAGCCGCGGUAAUACGUAGGGGGCAAGCGUUAUCCGGAUUUAUGGGGGGUAAGGGGGGAGCAGACGGCGAUGCAAGCCAGGAGUGAAACCCCGGGGCACAACCCCGGGACUGCUCUUGGAACUGGGUGGCUGGAGUGCAGGAGGGGCAGGCGGAAUUCCUGGUGUAGCGGUGAAAUGCGGAGAUAUCAGGAGGAACACCGGUGGCGAAGGCGGCCUGCUGGACUGCAACUGACGUUGAGGCCCGAAAGCGUGGGGAGCAAACAGGAUUAGAUACCCGAGUAGUC